rnacentral:rRNA from 1 species
UACGUAGGGUGCGAGCGUUGUCCGGAAUUAUUGGGCGUAAAGAGCUUGUAGGCGGUUUGUCGCGUCUGCUGUGAAAAUCCGGGGCUCAACCCCGGACUUGCAGUGGGUACGGGCAGACUAGAGUGCGGUAGGGGAGAUUGGAAUUCCUGGUGUAGCGGUGGAAUGCGCAGAUAUCAGGAGGAACACCGGUGGCGAAGGCGGGUCUCUGGGCCGAUAUUGACGCUGAGGAGCGAAAGCGUGGGGAGCGAACAGG